UACAGAGGGUGCAAGCGUUGUCCGGAAUUAUUGGGCGUAAAGAGCUCGUAGGCGGCCUGUCGCGUCGGAUGUGAAAGCCCGGGGCGUUAACCCCGGGUCUGCAUUCGAUACGGGCAGACUAGAGUGCGGUAGGGGAGACUGGAAUUCCUGGUGUAGCGGUGAAAUGCGCAGAUAUCAGGAGGAACACCGGUGGCGAAGGCGGGUCUCUGGGCCGUAACUGACGCUGAGGAGCGAAAGCGUGGGGAGCGAACAGG
rnacentral:rRNA from 1 species